CAAUAGGUGGAAAGGCACAUAUCU
rnacentral:siRNA from 1 species